UGGGUUUAAGUCCGUUUCCAUCACUCAUUCGCGCCUACACCCAUGUGCAUCUCUCUAUCGUAGGCUAUUCUUCGAAUGGACUCUGAGAAACAGCAUUUUCCAAUUAAUUUUUGGUUUAAUUGUGAAACAUUAUGCUAAACCUGUUUAUUAUUUGUUUAAUUUAGUGCAGACAAACGGUAGUUUGGUAUUCUGUUUGCUGUGGAGAAUAAAUGGCCGAUCCAAAAAGGAGCGAGGUCUUUAAACGAUCCAGCACGGUGUCAAUCAUUUAACUCAAUAAUUCAGCAUCAACAACCGCUCAUUGCCUGGCUAACAGAGACGAGUGCCAAAUUAGAUUUUAAAAUAAAUAAACAUAAACAUAAACAAAAGAUUCUGAAUAUCAGACAUUAUUUAUUAAGAAUAAAAUGACCGAGAAUAGCAUAUCAAUUCAAUCCAUGUUCGCAAGGAAACCUGCCUGAGAAGCCUAGAAGAAGCGCCUAGGCAAGCUGAGCGACGUCUCCAAGAUCCAGCGCAUCAACGCGAGGAGCACCAUUGAUAGGCUAGUGUUCUUUGGAGGCAACAUACAGUGAGUUUUGCUGUGCCACAUUGUAUACGGAGAAGGAGUCGAAGGACAGGAAGCAGCUGAUAUUGGGCAGCAGCAAUACCACAUAGGAAGAAAGCCUGCUUGUCCCCUGCCAUUCGGGAAGAGAGGUGUCGGUUGAGACGUUAGACGUGAAGUGGAUUGAUCUCUGGAGCCAGCUGACUCGAAUUUCCAGACGCCGGCAUGUUACACACCCACGUUCUGAGCCUUGCCCAACUCUCCUCCACCUCCUCCAGCCUCUCCACCUCCCUCUUCCUCCUCUUCCUCCUGGGGCUUACCCACCUCUCCCAGGCUGGCUCAGACCAUGCAGCACCCAGCAGCCCGCCCAGCAACUGCUCUGAUGGAGACCCCUGCUCUGAGGGCGUGGUCCUGCCCAUGUGGAACCCUCAGAACCCGUCAGUGGGCGACAAGGUGGCACGGGCCAUCGUCUACUUCGUGGCCCUCAUCUACAUGUUCCUGGGCAUGUCCAUCAUUGCCGACCGCUUCAUGUCUUCUAUUGAGGUCAUCACCUCUCAGGAGAAAGAGAUCACCAUCAAGAAGCCCAACGGAGAGACCACCACAGCCACUGUACGCAUCUGGAAUGAGACCGUAUCCAACCUGACCUUGAUGGCCCUAGGCUCGUCUGCCCCAGAGAUCCUGCUGUCUGUCAUCGAGGUGUGUGGCCACUCGUUUGAGGCAGGUUCCCUGGGCCCCAGCACCAUCGUGGGCAGCGCAGCAUUCAACAUGUUCGUCAUCAUUGCCCUCUGUGUGCACGUGGUACCAGAGAACGAGACACGCAGGAUCAAGCACCUGAGGGUGUUCUUCGUCACGGCAACCUGGAGCAUCUUCGCCUACAUCUGGCUCUACCUGAUCCUGGCUGUCAUCUCCCCGGGGGAGGUGGAGGUGUGGGAGGCCGUACUUACCUUCAUGUUCUUCCCCAUCUGUGUGGUUCAGGCCUGGGUCGCGGACCGACGCCUGCUCUUCUACAAGUACAUCCAUAAGCGUUACCGUGUCGACAAGGCCCGCGGCAUCAUCAUCGAGACAGAGGGGGACAGCAUGUUCACCAAGAUGGAUGUGGAGAUGGACGGCCAGGGGGGCAACUCCCACCCCCACCCCAAGGAUGUGCUGGACCACAUGCUGGAGGGGGUGGAAGAAGGUGGAGGGCUGAACUCAGAAGAGGAUGAGGCUCGGAGGGACAUGGCCCGCACCCUGAAGGAGCUGAAACAGAGGCACCCAGAGAAGGACACAGAGCAGCUGAUUGAGAUGGCCAACUACCAGGUUCUGGUCCAGCAGCAGAAGAGCAGGGCCUUCUACCGCAUCCAGGCCACACGCAUGAUGAUCGGUGCUGGGAACAUCCUGAAGAAGCAUGCUGCUGACCAGGCCAGGAAGGUGGUGAGCUGCCAUGAGGCCAGCGGACAGGAGGAGGACCCCCACACCAUCUACCUGCAGUUUGAACCCUCCCACUACCAGUGCUUCGAGAACUGUAGCUCGCUCAAGCUGUCUGUUGGGCGCCAUGGGGGCGAAAGCGGCUGCACAGUCAAGGUGGACUACCGGACAGAGGAUGGAACGGCCAACGCCGGCUCAGACUAUGAAUUUGCUGAGGGCACGCUGGUCUUCAAACCUGGUGAGACACUAAAGGAGCUGACCGUAGGGGUUAUUGAUGACGACAUCUUUGAAGAGGACGAGCACUUCUACGUGCACCUCAGCAACCCCGCAUUGUCCACCGUGCCGAGGUGGCCAUCCUGGAGCCCAGCACCAUCACCACCACCAGCAGUAUGAGGAACCUCUCCCCCCACGUAUCCCCCAAGGCCGCCCUGGGCAACGCCCACACUGCCACGGUAACCAUCUAUGACGACGACCACGCAGGCAUCUUCACAUUUGAAGUAGAGUCUAUGAGGGUGAGCGAGAGCGUGGGCACCAUGCAGGUAAAGGUGCACCGGAUGUCCGGGGCCAGGGGUAAAGUGGCCAUCCCCUACCACACCCUGGAGGGCACCGCCAAGGCUGGGGAGGACUACGAGGAGGUGGCUGGGAAACUGGAGUUCCAGAACGACGAGACCAUGAAGCUGUUGGAGGUGAAGGUCAUUGAUGAUGAGGAGUAUGAGAAGAACAAGACCUUCAUCAUCCAGCUGGGGGAGCCUGUGCUGCUGGAGAUUGGACGGAAACACGGCGACUCCAAUGACAACAAGCCAGCAGGAACUGAUGAGGAGGAGGUGUCCAAGAUGGGCUGUCCCAGCCUAGGAGAACACACCAAGCUGGAGGUGGUGAUCGAGGAGUCCUACGAGUUCAAGAACACAGUGGAUAAGCUGAUCAAGAAGACUAACCUUGCUCUGGUGGUGGGCAGCAGUAGCUGGAGAGAGCAGUUUGUCAAUGCUGUCACUGUCAGUGCAGGUGAUGAUGAUGAGGAGGAGAGUGGGGAGGAGCGCCUGCCGUCCUGUUUCGACUACAUCAUGCACUUCCUCACAGUGUUCUGGAAGGUUCUGUUCGCCUUUGUCCCGCCCACAGAGUACUGGAACGGCUGGGCCUGCUUCUUUGUGUCCAUCUCCCUGAUUGGUGUUCUAACGGCUGUGACUGGGGACCUGGCCUCACAUUUUGGCUGCACAGUCGGGCUCAAGGACUCUGUCACUGCCGUAGUAUUUGUGGCCCUGGGUACUUCCGUUCCAGACACCUUUGCCAGUAAAGUGGCGGCCAUCCAAGACCAGUAUGCUGACGCCUCCAUCGGCAAUGUGACAGGCAGCAAUGCAGUGAAUGUGUUCCUGGGCAUCGGUGUGGCGUGGACCAUCGCGGCCGUCUACUGGAAGACAAAGGGCAAGAAGUUCCUUGUGCAGCCAGGCUCGCUGGCCUUCUCCGUCACCCUGUUCACAAUCAUGGCGUUCGUAUGCGUCCUGGUGCUGAUGUACCGCCGCCGGGCCGGGGUGGCAGGGGGCGAACUGGGGGGCCCGCGGACCGCGAAACUCCUCACCUCCCUCUUCUUCUUCUCCCUCUGGCUCCUCUACAUCAUGCUGGCCUCCCUGGAGGCCUACUGCCACGUGCCAGGCUUCUGAGAGACAGAGAGAGAAAGACAGAGAGAGAUUGAAGGGGAAAGCUUGUCUCCUAUUGUUUACAUGUCUAUCCCGCUCAUUUCUGUGUACUUUUCUGAGUGUUAUGAAGUAUUUCUAUUGUUAUUAUUAUUGCUACAGUGGUUACUUGACUCUGAAGACUUCUAUCCCAUUUAGAAUGACGUGGAUGGCAGCCUUAGUCAUUCUGUUGGAAGCAUACUGGGACCAGCUAAUGACUUGAUGUAUAUCUUGGGAGGACUCAUGCCUUGAGGCGUAGCUUUGUCUAACCAGGCUGUCUGCACAAACGAGGGGGGAAAAAAUGACCCUGGACUCUUCUGAGUAUGCUCCCGUUUUGUUUAUAGCCUAUCCUGAACCCUUAGCUAUUUCAGCCCCACUGCCUCUCUCCUGCAUCUCUGCAUUCAGAUAGAGUACGGCCCUAGUAAAUCAGUCUGAAUGUCUUGGAGAUGACGCACACUGACUCAGAGAUCAGAGCCGGAUCAGAUCUUCCCUCUGCCCGUGUCUUAACGUUGGUUCCUGGUUGGCCAACUCUCGAACCCCUGAUGCCCACCAAGCACAAUCAUUCCCAUGAAGAUUCUCAGCCUCUGCCCUGAACAUUGACUCCUUCCCCCACCCCCAUCCUAACCCUCUCUCUUAUUUUUCAACAACGUCAUGUGGUUGUCUUGUGGAUUUUUUUGGGGGGGGGGAAUGAUGCCAAGAUAGUAAAGAUGUUUGAAAAAUCGAAGUGUUUGUAGAUAAAACAUUGCCAUAUAUUAUCUUUGAACACGGUCUGAAAGGCGAACUUGUAGUGGGGGUUGUGAAGUGGAAGAACUACAGUUUGCAUGCUACUGCAUUAGAAUUAGUAGCCACUGAGAGCAAAAAAUAAUGCCAGAUGCUAUUCAGGAAAUGGAGAUCAGUUGAACAAAGCUGUUGGUGUUUGUUAAUAAGAUUAAUGUUCAUAUUUAUUAUCUCAAACUAUUUAUUGUAUAUCAUGUCAAAGAUAAUACUCCUGCUAGUUGUGUACAUGUGGGAGAGUGAGAUCGUGAGUGUGUUUUUUUUUGCAUGUAUUGAGUGAAGAAUUGAAUGAUAGAAACAUUUGGAAGUAUUAUAUGUAACAUUUUAAUAAUAUGGCUAUCAUCAUGAGUGAAAGUCUAGAUGUGAUUCCAAGCUAAGCACAGUAAAAUAUGAGUAUCACUGCCUGGUUCCCUGACCCAGACUCCGUCUGGGGACAACCUCUUAGUCUUGUGAGGACUUCUUCCAAUAGCCUUUCUUUUUUUUACAGGACACUAAUCAAUGUGAGACAAGACCUGCCAGAGUUGUCCUGCUUCUUGAAAAGUGUGCUUUGAAAUAUACAUUUGGGACCAUGUUGAAGCUAAUUUUUUUCCUAAGGUUUUGUAUGAGUGUUGCGAGCGUGUUGAUGUGGAUAAUUCAAGGUAUUUGUACUUCUUGUCUUCAGAGUUUGAUGGAAGGCAUGCCUUUAUACCGUCAAAAAAUGUUUACUCAAGGGGGUAUGGAUUUCAAUGAUGAAAUGUCUACACUUCUGAGUUAUGUUCCCAGGAAUCCUCUCCCCCAAAAUGUUUUCUCAGUCUCCGUCCCGUUCAGGCUUUGAACAUAUUUCUGCUACAUGUCAAAGCCCUGCAUAGGAGUAGAAACAACGUUUCUAAAGCCUGAAGCGUUUGUUUAUUACCUGAACAUAGCACACACAUUCCAAUAUCCAGGUUUGAAAAUGGUGACAAAAGAACUAUGACAAUACUGUACUGUUAUGAAAAAAAAGACCACAAACAAAUGAUUGCCAAACCUUCCUAUACUUUGCAUAAGGACUGUGUGUAGACCUCAUGUUUGAAAUCUAGGAUCCUCCGAUCCAUUCUUCUCAUUUCUAGAUGUAUUCCUAGUUACAUGAUCAUUGCUGCUUUUAUUUGGAUUAAUAUGCACGCUAAAUGUAUGAUCAAUGGAAAUAAAAGUUGUUUAUUUAUCA